rnacentral:rRNA from 1 species
UACAGAGGGUGCAAGCGUUGUUCGGAAUUAUUGGGCGUAAAGGGCGUGUAGGCGGCUUGUUAAGUCUUCUGUGAAAUCUACGGGCUCAGCCUGUAACGUGCAGAGGAAACUGGCGAGCUUGAGUGUCGGAGAGGAUAGGGGAAUACCCGGUGUAGAGGUGAAAUUCGUAGAGAUCGGGUGGAACACCAGUGGCGAAGGCGCCUAUCUGGCUGACAACUGACGCUGAGACUCGAAAGCAUGGGGAGCAAACAGG